rnacentral:lncRNA from 1 species
GUCGGAAACUGGAACGUCGCUGCGCCGCGCGGUACUACGGCCUGUCCUGCGUUUAUGUCAACAUGAUCAGAGGGGAGGGCGGGGAGCCACCAGGGCGCCGCGCGCUCACCAAAGUCGCCUCUAGGUGGCUGAUCCAGAAGAGAGUUCGCAGCAGCCUGAGAGCUCGCCGCGGCUCCUCAGCUCAGCCUACGUCUGAAAGGCCUCAGCCAUCCAAGCCGGGGGAUCCGGGGAGGAGGCUGGGCCAGGGAGGAAGGGGGAGGGAGCGAGGGCGGGAGCCAGGCAGCUUGCCCGGCUUCCGAGGCGCCGGGCAGGGGCGCUCGCCUCUCGCGCGCUCCGAGCGCUACAGUUCAAGCCCGCGGCCGCUUCUCUUGUGCGGAUCUGCAGCUUCUUCCCUUUCCCGGGCCCCGGGCUAGCCGAGCUGGCCGCCGAACCUCUCUUUCGGCCAAUAAGCCUUAACAAAAGCUCCAGGCUCGCGUAGCUCUGAAGGGAGCCCCACAUGGAACCGCCCAGCCACCUCUGAGUCAGAUCCUCUAGCUCCUGCGCCCGGGUGCUUCGGAUUCCCGAGCCACUAGCGCAGGGGAUCCCACCAAUCUUUCUGCCCGCUGCCUGCUCCCCACCCGCAGCCACGUGCAGAGACCCAAAUGCCCCUUGGGAUUCUGGGCCCGAACGCGCGCCGACAUACUGAGACCGAGCCCCCACGCGGAAAAAUAAACCACGCAAAUGCAUUCAAGGCCUGCGCGCCUGGCCCAGUCUA